GGGGACUUAGCUCAGCGGUAGAGCGCUUGCCUAGCAAGUGCAAGGCCCUGGGUUCGGUCCCCAGCUCCG
rfam:Rattus norvegicus chromosome 15, whole genome shotgun sequence.